rnacentral:rRNA from 1 species
AUUGAACGCUGGCGGCAUGCCUUACACAUGCAAGUCGAACGGCAGCACGGGUGCUUGCACCUGGUGGCGAGUGGCGAACGGGUGAGUAAUACAUCGGAACAUGUCCUGUAGUGGGGGAUAGCCCGGCGAAAGCCGGAUUAAUACCGCAUACGAUCUACGGAUGAAAGCGGGGGACCUUCGGGCCUCGCGCUAUAGGGUUGGCCGAUGGCUGAUUAGCUAGUUGGUGGGGUAAAGGCCUACCAAGGCGACGAUCAGUAGCUGGUCUGAGAGGACGACCAGCCACACUGGGACGGAGACACGGCCCAGACUACUACGGGAGGCAGCAGUGGGGAAUUUUGGACAAUGGGCGAAAGCCUGAUCCAGCAAUGCCGCGUGUGUGAAGAAGGCCUUCGGGUUGUAAAGCACUUUUGUCCGGAAAGAAAUCCUUGGCCCUAAUACGGUCGGGGGAUGACGGUACCGGAAGAAUAAGCACCGGCUAACUACGUG